CAAAUUUAGGGACUUUACUGACGGGACUCUGGGCUGGCUGCUCUGUUCACUCGUCAGCGCAAGUGGCGUGACCAUGUAAUUGGGGCACGGGGCCGGCGCGGCGCGCUGCGGGCUUGCAGAAUUUUGUUUGUUUGUUUGGCCGCGCGCUGGCGCAGCCACGGGCCGCAGUUACUGGGGCGCGCUGUCGUAACAAGCCGCGCGGUGUGGCCUGCACAUUGGGGUAGAGGGGGGGUAGUCUUCCCAGAUGUUCUAGUUAGUUGUUUAGUAAAUUUGACUUCAAUAACGAGCUUUUGUUAUGGUAGGCGCGGCAGGGCGCGCGAAUUUAAGCGCAAGUGAGUGGUGACUUCAGGCUCACUCAGGCGGAGGCUCACUCAGGCGGAGGCUAUGCGUCUCACCUGUGGUCACGAGUUGUUAGUUCGUUCGUGAUGUAGGAAUUCAGGCUCACUCAGGCGGAGGCUAUGCGUCUCACCUGUGGUCACGAGUUGUUAGUUCGUUCGUGAUGUAGGAAUUCAGGCUCUCGGGCGGAAGCUAUGGCCGACGCCAGAGGCCACGAGUCGUUUAAUUUAAGUUAGGUCAUAAUGUAGUCAUCUUCAAGCUUUUGGGCGGAGGCAAUGGCCCUCGUCACUAGUCGUUUAGUUAUAAUUUUUAAAAUGUAAUGUUCGUUCGGAUUUUAAGGGCAGGAGAGGCCCCUACGUUAGUUUUAAGUAAUCGAUCAAGAAAGGCUUUUUGGAAAAUGUGAGUAUGGACUUAUCUUUGUUUUAAUUUUAAGUAGUAAUUAUGAUUUGAGGUAUUCGGAAGGACUAGGGAAGUGUUUAGUGAAGUUCUCUCAUUCUCUCUCUUGUAAGGUCGUUCAAUCGUUAAGGAAGUAAAGAGAUUAUUGUUUUAAAUUGUAAUCCCGCUAUUUAAAUGUUCUUUAAAAUGAUGUUGAGUAUUUGACUUUAAGAAUAAAAUAAUUUUAAUUAAGUAUUAUGUUAUUUUGCAAAAUCUCCUUAGUUCAGCUCUCACCAGACAUCCUGUACGGGAUGACGAACCUAUGAUCCUAGGUACAGUAAAGUAUUUUAUGAAGUUAAGACUAGUUGAUGCCAAGCGAGUUGUUUCUAUGUAAAGAGCUACGAUUCUCUCCCCCCUCUGAAAGUGGAUCGUGACAGAAAUGGCGGUGGCACCGGCUAGGUGCACGUGACAGAAAUGGUGGAGGCGCCGGGUAGGUUCUAUUUCUGGAGAGAGAGAGAGGUAGAUUUUUAUGUUUAUUAUUAAGUUAGUUUCAGCUUCUGAUAGCAGGUUAUUAAGAGUUUACUUGAGGAGAGGAUUACGGAAUUUAAUCUAAGUGGAGGAAGUCUUUGAGAUUUUUUUUUGACGUAACAGAUGUUUAUUUGAGUAUACUUGUAAGGAUAAAGUUUAUAGUGAUAAGUUGUUUUAAGUCGUUGAGUUUAUCAGGGAUUUUUACGUGAGGAGAAUACGUUAUAAUUUAAAUGAUUAAUAGAGAUAAUGCAAGUGGUUUAAUUUAAUUGAAAUUAAUUUUAAGAUUGUAGGUUAAGAGAGUUAAAAUUUAAAAUAAAGUUUUUUUCGUAAAUAGGAAUUAUUUUCAAGUGAAGUUUGUUUUGUUGUCGUGCGCGUAGGAGACGAGACGUACGAAUUAAAUCAGUCGAGGGAAGGAUAAACGUUAGAAAGGAAUUAAAAAGAAAACGAGAGUUUAUGUAAAAGAGAGUUAUAGAAUUUAUAGUGAUGUUUUGUUUUAAUUAGAAAAAUGUUGAGAGUUGUUUCAGAACGACACGUCAGUGGACGUGGCAGAAUGAACACGUGACGGGGAGGUGCUGAGACCUAGCGGAGAACGGAGGAACCGCAAGCGAGGGUUGGCGCACCUGAUGGAAUUCGGUGACGUCACGGGCUCAUACGGAGACGUGGACAGGCCGUGACCUUGUUUUGAUCAGCUGUACGGUAACUUAGCGAUAAGAAAAUAGACUAUUGGUUAAAUACAUUUAAAUUUAAGUGUGUUUUAGGAGAAGAGGAACUUUCAGUAUAUUCCUUAAGAUGAGCUGAGCAGCAGUCCAGUUUACAAGAUGACAAGAGUUCGAGAGACAAGAUACAAGAUCACUGAAACAAGAGCCAAGACUGAAGAUUCAAGAGAAGAGAAAGCUGGCAGCCAUGGACUUACAAGUGGAGAUUAAUAAGGUCAUGUAAAGUUAUAUUUUUUUAUGGAAGACAGUAACUGGAGUUUUUUUUUUGUUAUAAACAGUCUUUACAGAACUUUUUAGGUUAUAGUAAUGUAAUGGAACUAGUGAGUUGUGGUAGCUGUCAAAAAGAACUAAUACCUUAAGUUUAAUUUUUAAAGUUAAUUUUCUUAAUUUACAGAGGGAUUAGUAGUUUUUUUUAAACCUUAUUUAGGUUGGAAUUUAAAUACAAUAGCUUAUUAUAAAUGUGUACGAACAGUUCAAGUUCACAGUACUGAUAGGUAGGUCAGAUGAUCUUAUUGAUUUUGAUGAUUUGUUGUUUUGAGUUGAUUUUUAAGUGUUGUGAAUUAGACAAUGAAAUAGUUCUGAAAACUUAAAUUAUUUCAAGCUAAGAAAUAGUAAAGUUAAUUGUAACUCAAAGGACACCAGAAUUUAAUUUUUUUUUAAUUAGUAAUGUUUGAAAAUUUUAUACUUUACAAGAAAGGUUAUAAACAAACAGAUCGGAUGGAACAAGGAUGCAGUAAAUCACAAUUUCAUUUAGAAUUAUUGAUUAGCUUUUGAGGUUAUGAAGUAAAAGUAAUUAUAGUUUAAAAGUUUGAAUAAAAAAAAAAUGUUUUUUUUUUAUUUGUUUGAAAUAGAAAGUUUAAAAGUUAAUUAGUCAUGAUCUAGGUGGGUGAUGGGGUGGGAAUUGGCCACUCUUUUUCCCUAUAACCUCCCUAACAUGGCCUUCUAUUACAUCUAACAGAAGAAAAAAAAAGAAGAAAAAGAAGACUUAGUAUUAGUUAGAAUGUUUUUUCAUGAAGAUACCUGAUGAACUUUUUUUUUAUUGUUGGGAAGAAUAGUAGCAAGAUUAAUCAGAUGUUUUACUCAGAAGAAGAAGAAGAAGAAGAUAAAGCAGUUUUAUGACUCGACAAGCCAGAGAUUGGUGUUUCCCCUCUGCGCUUCUAUUGACUACGUUGUUUACUCUCAUGGGAUAGCUGGUUCGGCACCAUGGAGAGAGAUUGGUGGGCAUUGUGGUUGCCCCCAGAAGAAAAGAAGAGUAGAAAGGUUAUGGGUGGGUCAUGUGAACUGACCUUCAACCCAGUUACUUCGUGGGGACUAUUUGCUGUAUAGAGAAGAUCAAGACUCAAGAGUUAGGGAAAAUCAUUGGAGGUCAUGUUUCCCUUCCUUAAGUUUUUCCUAUCAAAUUAUUUGCCUGAUUAGAUUAUGCUAAGGGUGGGAUACUUUAUGUUAGCAGUUGAAUUAAUUAAUUUUAUUUUUUUUGUGUGUUUACAUCCUUGCCCAUCGAUUGCAGUUUAGUAGUUAGUUUUGUAUUUGUCAGGCGUGAUGGUAAUGCCUGUUGAUGAUGUUUCAGAAUUGUAAUCUGUUCGUGAUGAGGAUGGCACAACUCCGAAGCAGAUGUGGGGAGAAGUUGUGAGCUGCCCUGGAAGCCAGUCCAGUAGCUGUUGGAGUUGAGUGGUGUUUGCUGAUGGCCAGCCCAGGGAGCUACUCUUCUCGACAACACUGACUUCGAGGAGUUGCACCAACCUUCACGAGAUAAGAGUUUAAUUAAUUGAAACACUGUAAGGACACUUAAUUUUUUUUGAAGAACGAAAGAAGUAUGGUAAUAAACGGAAACCGAAAAAAAAAAAAA